AUUGAACGCUGGCGGCAGGCCUAACACAUGCAAGUCGAACGAGUGGCGUACGGGUGAGUAAUGUCUGGGAAAAUGCCUGAUGGAGGGGGAUAACUACUGGCAACGGUAGCUAAUACCGCAUACAAUCCGAUGUGCCCAGAUGGGAUUAGAUUGUUGGUGGGGUAACGGCUAACCAAGGAGACGCUCCCUAGCUGGUCUGAGAGGAUGACCAGAAACAAGGAAACUGAGACACGGUCCAGAGGCCUAAGGGAGGCAGCAGUGGGGAAUUUUGCAAAAUGGGCGCAAGCCUGAGGCAGCCAAGCCGCGUGAAUGAAGAAGGACAUCGGGUUGUAAAGUACUUUCGGCGAGGAGGCGUUACCCGCAGAAGAAGCACCGGGUAACUCCGUGCCAGCAGCCGCGGUAAUAC
rnacentral:rRNA from 1 species